AAGUCGUAACAAGGUUUCCGUAGGUGAACCUGCGGAAGGAUCAUUAAUGAGAUCAUGCCCUUUCGGGGGUAGGAACCUCCCACCCCCGUGUUUACUGUACCCGUUGCUUUGGCGGUCCCGUCGCAAGACGGGCCGGCCAAGAGGACCUUUAAAACCCGUAUUAUCAUUGUCGUCUGAGUACUAUACAAUAGUUAAAA
rnacentral:misc_RNA from 1 species